UGUGAGACCACCAGUGGCGAAGGCGUCUUACCAGAACGGUUCCGACGGUGAGGGACGAAAGCUUGGGGGCACGAACCGGAUUAGAUACCCGGGUAGUCCCAGCUGUAAACGAUGCUCGUUAGGUGUCAGGAACGGUGCGACUGUUUCUGGUGCCGAAGGGAAGCCGUGAAACGAGCCACCUGGGAAGUACGGCCGCAAGGCUGAAACUUAAAGGAAUUGGCGGGGGAGCACUACAACGGGUGGAGCCUGCGGUUUAAUUGGACUCAACGCCGGAAAACUCACCGGGGGCGACAGCAAUAUGUAGGUCAGGUUAAAGGUCUUACCUGAAUCGCUGAGAGGAGGUGCAUGGCCGUCGUCAGUUCGUACUGUGAAGCAUCCUGUUAAGUCAGGCAACGAGCAAGACCCGUGCCCACUGUUACCAGCAUAUCCUUUAUGGAUGAUGGGGACUCUGUGGGGACCGCUGCUGCUAAAGCAGAGGAAGGUGCGGGCUACGGUAGGUCAGUAUGCCCCGAAUCUCCCGGGCUACACGCGGGCUACAAUGGUUGGGACAAUGGGUAUCUACUCCGAAAGGAGUUGGCAAUCUCUUAAACCCAAUCGUAGUUCGAAUUGAGGGCUGUAACUCGCCCUCAUGAAGCUGGAAUCCGUAGUAAUCGCGUUUCAACAUAGCGCGGGU
rnacentral:rRNA from 1 species